ensembl:lncRNA
CUCCAAUUGAUCUUUAUCAGGACCAAAAGGAAGUAUUUUCAGAAAGCUGCUUUGAUCUGAGACUCCAUUCGUAUGCCUGCCUUCCCUCCCCACAGGUGUAGGCUUUACAGCUCUUACCCAACUGUUCUUUUAGAGACUCCUGUGGUAGAUCCCUAAGAUGCUCUCAGGCUCUAUUACUGAGGAAACCCAUGUGGCCUCUGUUGAGGUCUGCUGACACUGUUAGACAGAACAUGGGCAUUCCUGGACUUCAGGAGUUGGGCCACGGAGACUCAGUGUACAUGCCGUGGUAGUGCUUCCAGAGUUUUGCUCUAUGCCUCCUAAACUCCCAGCAGUAGGGAUGAGGGGAAAAAACUAGAAAGGGUAUUUGCUUUGCUAUCUUUUGCUUUUCUCCCAUGUCAGUUGCCCAUCAAGACUUGCUUGCACCCUAAAAUCAUAAGCAACUCCAUGGCUUAAGGCUGUACCCAUUGGAACAAACCCUGUUGUCUGGCUGCCAGGAGCUGUUCAUGGGGUUUGGAGAUAUGGACAAACCACAAGGGCAUUCUCAGACUCCCUUAGUCCAUAGGUUUUAGGAAUAGAGAUGUCACUUAACAAAUGGCUUUGCCAGCUGGAUGUAGCACAAGGCUGAUGUCACAGCACAGGGAAAUUUGCUGAGCAAGGGACUUCUCUCCCCCCACACCCCAUCUUUGUCCCUAGGUAUGCUGGGGACACUCUAACAUGGCAAGAUUAGCACUAGACAGGUGAGGUGGCCGCACAUGCCCCCUUGGUCCCUAGCUCCGGUGAGUCCAUCUCUAAGCAGCUGAGGUGCCUUGUUCUGAUGUCAGGAGAUGUAGGGCCCCAGCCCCAGCGUGCAGCGCUCACCUCUGUUGUGCCUCACUUGAAAUGGUGCUUCUUCAACUGCUUUUAUUUGUAAGGUGCUGUAUAUACAUUGAACAUAUGCACAUACUCUACCCAAUGGGUAGAACAAAUUAAUACUGUAAUAUACUGUAUAGAUACCAGUUUUAACAGAAAUGGCAUAGAAUUUGUGAAUGCCUAUGUAUUCCAUCUUUUGUAAGGAAACUUGCAAAUGAUUACAUACAGAUAAAAAUCUAUGUAGUUUAUUUUCCUAUUAAAUACCAUAUUAACACCAUGGGAUGAAGUCUGAACAAGAAAGCAGCCGUUUACGACCAGCAUAUACAUAGGAAUUAAGUUGCACCUUUGCUCUGAAAAUACUUUGGCAAUUUCUAAGAUAUUUUUAUUUUAAUCCCUUUAGAAAUAGUUAACCAGUUUGGUUCUAUUUUAGCCAUGGGGGGGGGGGAGUUGCUUUUGAGCUUGCUCUAUGCGCGAGCCUUUUCUCUCCAUGUAGUUAUCAGUGUCAGGCCUCAGUGGGAUGUGCAAAUCUUUGAUGACACACAUGGUGUCAGGAAAGUGAGUAACCUGUAGCCGAGGCUAUUCAGCCUCAGGGCACUUGUGACCAUUGUGUCCCCUGUUUCUCAGUGCCUUGUCUUAUAAAUGGAAGCUAUGGCGCCAAUGAACGGUCUGGAAUUUAUAGGAGUGUCUCAGAGAAAAGAUCCAUUGGGGAAGAUGAUUGGGGUAGGGAAAAUGUUUUAAGUUGUCAUUAGAGAACUGUCAGUCAGCUGAGUCUAGAAUCUGAUUCCCAUUGUGUUCUGUGGUAGUCCUGAGCCCUAAGACAAUUAGGUUUAAUUACCAGGUUACGUGUUAAGCUGCAUGUCAAGUCAUAUUUCUCUCUUCCGGCUUAGUCUUUAGUAUCCAAUUGUAGCUUUGGCAUUUUUGUCUUUUUAUUUUCUCUUUAAAGCAAAGAAGCCUUGGUGUCCAUGGAUACUAAGCGCUAUCCAGAAAGGCAAUCCAUUGAAUCUUGCCUGUCCUAGCUAACCCAGCUAUGUCAUCAGUUGAUCAUUUGAGUAAUUCCAGGCUUUUCUUUGUCCCGUGAUUAUGUGCUCUGAUAUCGAAAGUCAGAAACAGAAUUUUCUCCCAAUCAGGAAAACAAAGAGGAUAAAAGCUUCAAGCUAGUACCAGUUAUGCUUAAUGUGCGACUCUUAAUGCUGACUCGGCCCUUUAAUACCUCCUUACAGAGGGGAGCAGAUGUGACAGUGGGUACCUUCCUAUGUCUCAGCCGAAUUCAAGGUCACGUCUCUGUCUACUGCAGGGCACACCCCGAGGGUCCCAGCAUCAAGACCUGAGGCUCAGUCAGUCAGAAAAUGGGCACUCUAGUGAUUGUCAGAAUGUCCUGGACUCAGAUGUGUGACCAACCAGAUUCUUUCCUGCAGACCCAGCUCUGACCGAGCAUCCCUCUCAACGAUGCUGGUCCUGUCUGAUGUGCUUGCCUUUCUAGAACCCAAUUUCAAUUCAUAUCCUUGUUGAGUUUAAAGUUGUUUUAAAAUAUAUACAACAGUAUCCACAGCAUUUUAGUUCAUUUAAUUUUUAUUAUAAAGCAAUCUACUAAAAAAAUACAACUGUAUUUGAACCUUCCGAUCUCUGUGAGCUAUGAUGAUCAGAAGUCGGGAGUCCUUUGUGUUUAAACAACCACAUGCUCACUCUUUAACAUAAUUCCUGCUUAUAUACGGGAAGCGAUUCACAACCGCCAUCCACCUGCACCUUUUGCCCAGGCGGCAAUGUGGUUUAGACCUCAGGUCUGUAAUUGCAAUACUUUUUGAUGGGAGAUGUUGCACAAGUGCUAUUUGUUAGCUAUGAAAUCAGGUUUUCUGCUUGUUCUUAAUGCCAUGGUUAAAUCAUAGCACAAAAUCAUUAAAAAUAAUCAGUGAUAAAUGAUCUGUUCCCUGGGGUUGUUUGUUCACUUCUCAUAGUCAACAAAUAGAAGACUGAUGUAUGUGUAUGACCAGUCUUGGAAAAUACCUGUUGUUUGUG